rnacentral:lncRNA from 1 species
UAGGAUUUGUGAGGAGAGAGCAAUCGCUGCUCAAAGUCAGUGUUUAUUUUGGUGUUUCGGAUUAUAUAUAAAACAUUCAUGGUUUGCAUUCUCAAUUGGUUUGUGCAAGUCGUGUAGCAUCUAUGGAUCAAAAUUUGGUAUUGUCUCGAUAGUUGGGUGUGCUAAGUGUAUACAAAAAUUUGUAUUAAUCUAACGAUGCAAUCAAGAGAUAUCUAGGUUUUAGUACAAAG